rnacentral:tRNA from 1 species
ACUUUCUUAGUACACAUAAGUAUAUUUGACUUCCAAUCAAAAGGCUCUGGUUAAUUCAGAAGAAAGUA